CGCAUAGCUCAGCUGGUUUAGAGCAUCUGCCUUACAAGCAGAGGGUCGGGGGUUCGAAUCCCUCU
rnacentral:tRNA from 1 species